GGGAUGGCGGAUCAAGGCCAAAGCAGGUGGGGACGAGCACACGCGCCUGGCUGAGUCACAGGGGGGCCCGGCACCACCGUGUACACCGGGAUGGGUAGGUUAGGGUGCGGGGGAGCGCUCCCCUCCUAAGGUUGCGGUGAAGACCCUGUAAUAUAAAUACACGUAUAUGUAUAAGACUGGGAAGCAUGUCUAGAGAAUAAAAAUAAAAAAGUAAAUAUAUGAGUACACGCCAGGCUGAACAAGAAGCCUGAUGUGUAAGCAUGGAGAUUGCGUGAGGGAGAUGCACAGGGGAGAAAAAGAGAUGUGGGAAUGAGGGGAAACGACAAAACAACAAUAGGACACAGAGUGAAAACAAACCAAAAAUAAUGAGCAUGGUAAAAGUACAUAAGACAAAACAAAGAGGGUGUGUAAGUGACUGAAUGAAUAACAAUGAAGAAUGCAGUGUGUGGUCUAGUGAGAAAUGUGGAAGUGUAUGUGAAAGGGAUGUGGUAGAGCAGCAGUGUGAGGUAGGUUGUAAUUCACUAUUAGGAUUAAAUAUAGAGCAGUAAAGUAUAAUAAAAAGGAGGGUGAUGAAAGUUCUGUGGUGUCACACAACUGGUUUGAAUACUUCUGAAAAAAAGAAAUCUAAAAAUGUAACUUAUUUAUUAUGCAUAUCAAUCUAUACACCUUUGGUAUCCCCAUAACUUUUUAAAAAUGCAUAACAUACCAUAGAGCAGCCUUUUUAAUCAGGGUGCCUUGAGGUUUCUUCAGGGGGUGCCUUGGCAAAAUGCCUAAAAAUUGCCCAAAAUGUAUACAAGCCAGCAGGUGGAUCAAGCCUGCCUUUUAGUUACACAAAGCCACAGGUUUUUAUUGUGCACCAUUUCAACCUUCCAGCCACCACCUGCAUCCUAACAACCAGUGAUGUCAUAAAAAAAAGCUUUAAUUUGAAAAACCGCACAAUAUAAGAAUAGCAGUAAAUUUACCUUCACCAAAUCUAUAGUUAAAAUAAAGACAACAUUGUCUAUGGUCUGGAUUCCCAGCUGCGCACACACCCAUGCACACAAACAAUCACUCUGCAACAUUUGGGUAAUUGAGUAGUAAGAAGUCCAGAGGUAGAAGUUGCACAAUUCCUCAACUGAGGUAGUCUAUCAAGGCUAUAAUUUGCCACCGAAACAAAUUUAAUGUAUGUCCAAUACUCGAUCAAUAGCAGAGUGUUAGAGGUGUGACAGAGGACAUUGCAGAUAUGAGGAGUUACCUAAAUGGCCCAUAUGAGUGUCUGUCAGGAAAGGUUCCAUCCGCUGGUAAUAUUUAUUAUUAUUUGGCUUGCAGUACUGUGGUUCACCAGCAGGUGUCUCCUGACAGUUUGGAACUGUCAGGAGAACUUCUCCCUGCUGGUGGUAUAUCAACUUUGGGAGGCAGCACUGUUCUCCACCAGCGGAUGGAUCCUGGCAGUGUGGAGCAUACGGCUCUUUCUGCUCUCAGGUGUAACUUGAAGCCAAUUACUGACAUCCCUAUUUAUACCCGGCGAGUGCAAGCGCACCUCGCCUUGGUAUCUCUCUCCCUGACCUUGAGCCUGCGAUCCUGACAUUGAUCCUGCAUCUUCCUGACCCGAUCCGACCUGAUCCUUAUCCCGAACCCAUCCUGGAUUUGCCCUUCCUGCUUCCCCAAUGCCUUGGAUCCCUGUCCCCUUGUUACCUGGAUCCCUGCUCUGCAGCACAUCCAUCCAUCAUCUCCCUGUUCCUGUUUAUCCCCUGUCCUUGUCUAUCUUCUGAUCUCCUUGUGUAUGACCUCGGCCUGGCCUGUUUACGAUUACGGUAUCUCCCAUCAUUGUACAUAUUGUCUUUAGUUAUCUUUCGGUCACUGUUUAUUGUUUUUUUAUUGCAGUGUUCUGUUGGAGGUGGUUGUGUGUUGUUCCCUUUUCUUAAUAAAUUAUUAUAUUUUCACCUA